rnacentral:rRNA from 1 species
UGGGGAAUAUUGGACAAUGGGCGCAAGCCUGAUCCAGCCAUGCCGCGUGAGUGAUGAAGGCUUUAGGGUUGUAAAGCUCUUUCGCCGAUGAAGAUAAUGACGGUAGUCGGAGAAGAAGCCCCGGCUAACUUCGUGCCAGCAGCCGCGGUAAUACGAAGGGGGCUAGCGUUGUUCGGAAUUACUGGGCGUAAAGCGCACGUAGGCUGUGCGAUAAGUCAGUGGUGAAAUCCCAGAGCUUAACUCUGGAACUGCCAUUGAAACUAUCGUGCUAGAAUCUCAGAGGGGGUAGCGGAAUUCCAAAUGUAGGGGUGAAAUCCGUAGAUAUUUGGAGGAACACCGGUGGCGAAGGCGGCUACCUGGAUGAGUAUUGACGCUGAGGUGCGAAAGCGUGGGGAUCAAACAGG